AGAUCGGGAUAACACCUGGAAACAGAUGCUAAUACCGGAUAAUAACAGAUGAUGCCUAUCAACUGUUUAAAAGAUGGUUCUGCUAUCACUCUUGGAUGGACCUGCGGUGCAUUAGCUAGUUGGUAGGGUAACGGCCUACCAAGGCGAUGAUGCAUAGCCGAGUUGAGAGACUGAUCGGCCACAUUGGGACUGAGACACGGCCCAAACUCCUACGGGAGGCAGCAGGA
rnacentral:rRNA from 1 species